rnacentral:sRNA from 1 species
GUGUUUUUCAUAGUAAUAGAUUUAAGAUUAAUAGUUAGUAUUUGCUUGUGAAAGUCAGUACACUUAAGGAUAAAGGCGUUUAUCCGAAAAAGAAAAAAGAGGUCACUCCCUUACGAGUAACCUCUUUCUUCU